AGAGAUUGAACAUAAGAGUUUGAUCCUGGCUCAGAUUGAACGCUGGCGGCAUGCUUUACACAUGCAAGUCGGACGGCAGCACAGGGAAGCUUGCUUCUCGGGUGGCGAGUGGCGAACGGGUGAGUAACAUAUCGGAACGUACCGGGUAGCGGGGGAUAACUGAUCGAAAGAUCAGCUAAUACCGCAUACGUCUUGAGAGGGAAAGCAGGGGACCUUCGGGCCUUGCGCUAUCCGAGCGGCCGAUAUCUGAUUAGCUGGUUGGCGGGGUAAAGGCCCACCAAGGCGACGAUCAGUAGCGGGUCUGAGAGGAUGAUCCGCCACACUGGGACUGAGACACGGCCCAGACUCCUACGGGAGGCAGCAGUGGGGAAUUUUGGACAAUGGGCGCAAGCCUGAUCCAGCCAUGCCGCGUGUCUGAAGAAGGCCUUCGGGUUGUAAAGGACUUUUGUCAGGGAAGAAAAGGCCGUUGCCAAUAUCGGCGGCCGAUGACGGUACCUGAAGAAUAAGCACCGGCUAACUACGUGCCAGCAGCCGCGGUAAUACGUAGGGUGCGAGCGUUAAUCGGAAUUACUGGGCGUAAAGCGGGCGCAGACGGUUACUUAAGCAGGAUGUGAAAUCCCCGGGCUCAACCCGGGAACUGCGUUCUGAACUGGGUGACUCGAGUGUGUCAGAGGGAGGUGGAAUUCCACGUGUAGCAGUGAAAUGCGUAGAGAUGUGGAGGAAUACCGAUGGCGAAGGCAGCCUCCUGGGAUAACACUGACGUUCAUGUCCGAAAGCGUGGGUAGCAAACAGGAUUAGAUACCCUGGUAGUCCACGCCCUAAACGAUGUCAAUUAGCUGUUGGGCAACUUGAUUGCUUGGUAGCGUAGCUAACGCGUGAAAUUGACCGCCUGGGGAGUACGGUCGCAAGAUUAAAACUCAAAGGAAUUGACGGGGACCCGCACAAGCGGUGGAUGAUGUGGAUUAAUUCGAUGCAACGCGAAGAACCUUACCUGGUUUUGACAUGUGCGGAAUCCUCCGGAGACGGAGGAGUGCCUUCGGGAGCCGUAACACAGGUGCUGCAUGGCUGUCGUCAGCUCGUGUCGUGAGAUGUUGGGUUAAGUCCCGCAACGAGCGCAACCCUUGUCAUUAGUUGCCAUCAUUCGGUUGGGCACUCUAAUGAGACUGCCGGUGACAAGCCGGAGGAAGGUGGGGAUGACGUCAAGUCCUCAUGGCCCUUAUGACCAGGGCUUCACACGUCAUACAAUGGUCGGUACAGAGGGUAGCCAAGCCGCGAGGCGGAGCCAAUCUCACAAAACCGAUCGUAGUCCGGAUUGUACUCUGCAACUCGAGUGCAUGAAGUCGGAAUCGCUAGUAAUCGCAGGUCAGCAUACUGCGGUGAAUACGUUCCCGGGUCUUGUACACACCGCCCGUCACACCAUGGGAGUGGGGGAUACCAGAAGUAGGUAGGGUAACCGCAAGGAGUCCGCUUACCACGGUAUGCUUCAUGACUGGGGUGAAGUCGUAACAAGGUAGCCGUAGGGGAACCUGCGGCUGGAUCACCUCCUUUCUAGAG
rnacentral:rRNA from 1 species